AGCGUACACGGUGGAUGCCUUGGCAGUCAGAGGCGAUGAAGGACGUAUUAACUUGCGAUAAGCCCAGAUUAGGUAGUAAAAACCAUUUGAGUCUGGGAUUUCCGAAUGGGGAAACCCACUUGCAUAAGCAAGUAUCGCUGCGUGAAUACAUAGCGCAGCGAGGCGAACCGGGGGAACUGAAACAUCUAAGUACCCCGAGGAAAAGAAAUCAACCGAGAUUCCGAAAGUAGCGGCGAGCGAAAUUGGACUAGCCCUUAAGCUUUUUAUGCGUCAGGUGAAACUUCUGGAAAGUUGUGCGAUACAGGGUGAUAGCCCCGUAACCGGCAACGCAUAUAAAGUGAAAUCGAGUAGGGCGGGACACGUGAUAUCCUGUCUGAAUAUGGGGGGACCAUCCUCCAAGGCUAAAUACUACUGACUGACCGAUAGUGAACCAGUACCGUGAGGGAAAGGCGAAAAGAACCCCUGUGAGGGGAGUGAAAUAGAACCUGAAACCGUGUACGUACAAGCAGUAGGAGCACCUUCGUGGUGUGACUGCGUACCUUUUGUAUAAUGGGUCAGCGACUUAUAUUCAGUGGCAAGGUUAACCAUCUAGGGGAGCCGUAGCGAAAGCGAGUGUUAACUGCGCGACUCAGUCGCUGGAUAUAGACCCGAAACCAGGUGAUCUAGCCAUGGGCAGGUUGAAGAUUGAGUAACAUCAAUUGGAGGACCGAACCGACUAAUGUUGAAAAAUUAGCGGAUGACUUGUGGCUAGGGGUGAAAGGCCAAUCAAACCUGGAGAUAGCUGGUUCUCCCCGAAAGCUAUUUAGGUAGCGCCUCGGACGAAUACUACUGGGGGUAGAGCACUGUUAAGGCUAGGGGGUCAUCCCGACUUACCAACCCUUUGCAAACUCCGAAUACCAGUAAGUACUAUCCGGGAGACACACGGCGGGUGCUAACGUCCGUCGUGGAGAGGGAAACAACCCAGACCGCCAGCUAAGGUCCCAAAUUACUACUAAGUGGGAAACGAUGUGGGAAGGCUCAGACAGCCAGGAUGUUGGCUUAGAAGCAGCCAUCAUUUAAAGAAAGCGUAAUAGCUCACUGGUCGAGUCGGCCUGCGCGGAAGAUGUAACGGGGCUAAGUAGUAAACCGAAGCUGCGGCAAUGCACUUUAGUGCAUUGGGUAGGGGAGCGUUCUGUAAGCGGUUGAAGGUGUGUGGUAACGCAUGCUGGACGUAUCAGAAGUGCGAAUGCUGACAUGAGUAACGAUAAAGGGGGUGAAAAACCUCCUCGCCGGAAGACCAAGGGUUCCUGUCCAACGUUAAUCGGGGCAGGGUAAGUCGACCCCUAAGGCGAGGCCGAAAGGCGUAGUCGAUGGGAAACGGGUUAAUAUUCCCGUACUUCUUACAAUUGCGAUGGGGGGACGGAGAAGGCUAGGUGGGCCUGGCGACGGUUGUCCAGGUUCAAGUGCGUAGGCUGAAGAGUUAGGUAAAUCCGGCUCUUCUUAAGGCUGAGACACGACGUCGAGCUACUACGGUAGUGAAGUCAUUGAUGCCAUGCUUCCAGGAAAAGCCUCUAAGCUUCAGAUUGUAAGGAAUCGUACCCCAAACCGACACAGGUGGUCGGGUAGAGAAUACCAAGGCGCUUGAGAGAACUCGGGUGAAGGAACUAGGCAAAAUGGUACCGUAACUUCGGGAGAAGGUACGCUCUUGAUGGUGAAGUCCCUUGCGGAUGGAGCUGACGAGAGUCGCAGAUACCAGGUGGCUGCAACUGUUUAUUAAAAACACAGCACUGUGCAAAAUCGUAAGAUGACGUAUACGGUGUGACGCCUGCCCGGUGCCGGAAGGUUAAUUGAUGGGGUUAGACUUCGGUCGAAGCUCUUGAUCGAAGCCCCGGUAAACGGCGGCCGUAACUAUAACGGUCCUAAGGUAGCGAAAUUCCUUGUCGGGUAAGUUCCGACCUGCACGAAUGGCGUAAUGAUGGCCACGCUGUCUCCACCCGAGACUCAGUGAAAUUGAAAUCGCUGUGAAGAUGCAGUGUACCCGCGGCUAGACGGAAAGACCCCGUGAACCUUUACUACAGCUUGGCACUGAACAUUGACCCUACAUGUGUAGGAUAGGUGGGAGGCUUUGAAGCAAGUACGCCAGUAUUUGUGGAGCCGUCCUUGAAAUACCACCCUUGUAGUGUUGAUGUUCUAACGUUGACCCCUAAUCGGGGUUGCGGACAGUGCCUGGUGGGUAGUUUGACUGGGGCGGUCUCCUCCCAAAGAGUAACGGAGGAGCACGAAGG
rnacentral:rRNA from 1 species